GGGGAUAUAGCUCAGUGGUGAAGCACCUGCCUGGCAAGCACAAGGCCCUGGGUUUGAUUCCUGGUACCA
rnacentral:tRNA from 1 species